rnacentral:tRNA from 1 species
GCCUGGCUAGCACAGUCAGUAGAGCACGAGACUGGUAAUCUCGGGGUCGUGGGUUCGAGCCCCACGUUUAGCG